rnacentral:tRNA from 1 species
UAGGAUAAAGCUCAGCGGUAGAGCACAUGCUUAGUCAAGCACAGGAUCCUGGGUUCAAUUCCCAGUACCUCAA